rnacentral:rRNA from 1 species
UACGUAGGUGACAAGCGUUGUCCGGAUUUACUGGGCGUAAAGAGCGCGCAGGCGGUCGUUCAAGUCGAGUGUGAAAGCCCCCCGGCUCAACUGGGGAGGGUCACUCGAUACUGAUCGACUUGAAGGCAGGAGAGGGAAGCGGAAUUCCCGGUGUAGUGGUGAAAUGCGUAGAUAUCGGGAGGAACACCAGUGGCGAAGGCGGCUUCCUGGCCUGCUCUUGACGCUGAGGCGCGAAAGCUAGGGUAGCAAACGGG